rnacentral:lncRNA from 1 species
GCUGUUGGCUGUUUUUUAUUCAUUUCGCACUUUUUGUUUGUCUUUAAAACUUAUUGUUUUCGGUUGCGUUUAGGACAGCUGUGGUGGUUCACUGGUGUAGGGGGCCUUUUUUUGUUGUCGUAUUCCGGGUUUGAAUCUGUGCCGUUGUUUUUUUACUGUGUUUUUCUCCCUUUUAAAAGCCAGCCUACGUGGCUCACCACCGCCCUUCUUUUUUUAAGUUCUGCAUCAUCGCUUCCUCCCUGUUUUCUUCAGCCUGUGUUGUUUUGAAGAUGAGGAUGUUGAAUGGUGAAAGGAGUGGACUGGUGCAGAGGUCUUAGUACAGUUGUGGUUAUUCGAUGUUGUUGAUUCUAAAUGAUAAGUAUAAUCGUUCCGCUGU